UGUGACAGAAUAGUGUGAUAAAUUUAAGAUUUAUUCAUAAAGUUUAUCUUUCUUUAGAA
rnacentral:tRNA from 13 species